AAGACAUAGGCAGAGGGAGAAGCAGACUACCUGCAGGAAGCCUGAUGAAGGACUCGAUUCCAAGACCCUAGAAUUAUGACCUGAGCCAAAGGCAGACACUCAACCACUGAGCCACCCAGGCAUCACCUUAGCAGGCUAAUCCUGAGAGAGCUGGAGCUGUGGAGGAAGAGAAGACAUUGCAGAAAGCCUGUCCGAGGAGGAAAGGAUUCAUUCCUUGAAGAAAAAGCACUGAUUCAAAGAGCCUAUAGAUAUUUAAUGGCCAAUCAGUAUUGCUCAGAGGGGAUCUCCUUGGCUUCAUGCAUCAACUGGGUACAUUCUGAGAGCUUUCUGGAUGGGCCAUGACUUCCUGCCUCACAGAGUUAAAGUGGAUCUGGCAACCCAGUGGGGAGCACACAGUAGGCAUUUUGUAUGAAUUUUUUGUCUGAUGGGAAGAGAGCAGUGAUUUCUAUGGUGAAUAUCUGCUCAUUUCAUGCUAUGGGCUGCUGCUUGAUUUGAGUUUUCCCAGGAGAUCAAUUAAUUACUUUGCUCCAUUGAAUACUUUUUAAGGAUUCUUACAGAUGUUUGAUAAAUGCCCGUAUCUCAGGAGAACAGGGGGCAUUCAUAUAUUAAAAUACUUGUUUUGAGAGAUACCGGACACAAAAGAGCACAUACAAUAUUACUUCAUUUAAGAGUGCCUCGGUGACUCAGUUAAGAGUCUACCUUCAGCUCACUCAGGUCAUCCCGGAGUCCUGGGGUCGAGCCCCACAUUGGGCUCCCUGUGUAGCAGGGAGUCUGCUUCUCCCUCUGCCUUUGCCCCUCCUCCCCAAACAUGCUCUUUCUCACUCUCUCUCUCAAAUAAAUAAAUAAAAUCUGUAAAAAAACAUUACUACAUUUAAUAAGGGCCCUAAAUAAGGAAAAAUCACACCUUUACCCCUAUCCUGGAAGAUGAAUUGACUGACAAAAUAUGGGAGGAGAUUUGUGGGAUUCUGUGAUAAUUUUGUAUCUAGGUCUGGAGGAUGGUUAGAGAAGUGUGUUCAACUUUGUGAAAAUUCAUGCAUCUGAGUACUUACAAGCUGUGGGCUUUUGUUCCUGUAUAUUAUUUAUUAAUAAAAGAAAAAAAUCUCA